rnacentral:rRNA from 1 species
AUUGAACGCUGGCGGCAGGCCUAACACAUGCAAGUCGAGCGAGCGGCGGACGGGUGAGUAAUAUCUGGGAAACUGCCUGAUGGAGGGGGAUAACUACUGGAAACGGUAGCUAAUACCGCAUACCAUCAGAUGUGCCCAGAUGGUAUUAGCUAGUCGGGGGGGUAAUGGCUCACCAAGGCGAAGAUCCCUAGCUGGUCUGAGAGGAUGACCAGCCACACUGGAACUGAGAAACGGUCCAGACUCCUACGGGAGGCAGCAGUGGGGAAUAUUGCACAAUGGGCGCAAGCCUGAUGCAGCCAUGCCGCGUGUGUGAAGAAGGCCUUCGGGUUGUAAAGCACUGUCAGCGAGGAGGCGUUACUCGCAGAAGAAGCACCGGCUAACUCCGUGCCAGCAGCCGCGGUAAUAC